rnacentral:rRNA from 1 species
AUUGAACGCUGGCGGCAGGCCUAACACAUGCAAGUCGAGCGGAGCGGCGGACGGGUGAGUAAUUCCUAGGAAUCUGCCUGGUAGUUGGGGAUAACGUCCGGCAACGGGCGCUAAUUCCUCAUACUAUCCGAUUGGCCUAGGUCGGAUUAGCUAGUUGGUGGGGUAAAGGACUACCAAGGCGACGAUCCGUACCUGGUCUGAGAGGAUGAUCAGUCACACUGGAACUGAGACACGGUCCAGACUCCUACGGGAGGCAGCAGUGGGGAAGAUUGGACAAUGGGCGAAAGCCUGAUCCAGCCAUGCCGCGUGUGUGAAGAAGGUCUUCGGAUUGUAAAGCACUUUAAGUUGGGAGGCGUUACCAACAGAAUAAGCACCGGCUAACUUCGUGCCAGCAGCCGCGGUAAUAC